GCUAGUAAUGGCAGGUCAGCAUACUGCCGUGAAUACGUUCCCGGGCCUUGUACACACCGCCCGUCACACCAUGAGAGUUGGGAAUACCCGAAGCCUGUGAGCUAACUUUAAGAGGCAGCAGUCGAAGGUAGAAUCAAUGAUUGGGGUGAAGUCGUAACAAGGUAGC
rnacentral:rRNA from 1 species